rnacentral:rRNA from 1 species
ACGUCAAGUCCUCAUGGCCCUUACGGGCUGGGCUACACACGUGCUACAAUGGCGGUGACAGAGGGGUGCGAAGGGGCGACCCGGAGCCGAUCCCGAAAAGCCGUCUCAGUUCGGAUUGCACUCUGCAACUCGAGUGCAUGAAGUCGGAAUCGCUAGUAAUCGCGGAUCAGCACGCCGCGGUGAAUACGUUCCCGGGCCUU